GCAUGGUAAUGGAUUUAUGGUAGGUCCUCCUCUGUGGGCCUCUCAUAGUGUACCCAUGCCAGAGAAAACAGCCUCGAACCAUUGCCCAGUCCCUACCUGUGGGCUGUGAGCACUGAAAGCGGUUGAACAGUG
ensembl:snoRNA SNORA80E small nucleolar RNA, H/ACA box 80E